UGUCAAAGCUACCUGCGCGAACAACGUGGUUUCGCGCGAUGCGUUUCAUACCAAUGUUUACAAUGAGCAUAAACUAAAGGAAUGACCUAGACAUCGCUUCAUCUUUCUUGUCGAAUUCCUUCGUUAACUGCUUCGUCCGAAUCGAAGCGGCGAUGGAAGCAAGUGUCGACACGACGGCAACCGCAGCUCCAGAGAGCCAAGACGCCGCUUCUCCGGAAGAGGCUGCCUGUCAUACAGAGGUGCCGUCUCGCGAAGAUGGGCCGCCUCAACCAGCCAAGAACGAAAGUGGGAUGGCUCGGAUAAAACCAGAAUUCGUGAAACAGAGCCAAUCGCGGCACGUGGAGACGGCGUUCGUGGCGCCUUCUGACCGCACGAGCGCGGCGGCGACGGACGGUGAUGGGCAGCCGCCCCCACGCAAGAAGCUGCGCGGCCAAAACCACAGCCGGCCGCACCACCGGCCGCAGCCGCAGUCGGCCAAGCUUUGCUUCAAGCAUUUGGCCAAGGAGGGCUCCUGCCUGCACGGGGAUCAGUGCCGGUACAGCCACGACCUGCAAGCGUUUCUGGCGGCCAAGCCUGCUGACCUUGGAAACAAAUGCCCUCUGGUAGAAGCACAUGGCGGCUGCCGCUAUGGUGCCGUCUGCCGCUUUGCGCAAGCGCAUCCAGGUGGCGCCACUGCUACACCCCACUUGGUCGACGGCAUUUCUGGUACUCCAGGGGAAUGCAACACCCUGAGCAAGGAACUCCAGCAGGCGCUCAGGAAGAGGCAGUUUGACUUUGGACCUUCUGAGAAGAUCCUGAAGGAAAUAUCAGCUGGGGCAGCUGUCAAUGGAGUGACCAAUGGCCAGACAUUGGACAACUGUGUGGAUGACGUGGGACCAGAGGAGCCCAAGAAGGUGGACUUCCGAGGAAAGCUCUAUCUGGCCCCCUUAACCACGGUGGGCAAUCUUCCUUUUCGUCGGGUGUGCAAGGAGUUUGGUGCCGACAUCACAUGUGGCGAGAUGGCAAUGGCCGCCAACCUGCUCCAGGGUCAGCCGUCGGAGUGGGCCCUGCUGAAGCGACACUCCUCAGAAGACCUCUUUGGAGUCCAGCUGUGCGGCGCACACCCAGACGUGAUGACACGCUGUGCCCAGCUGCUCAGGGACAAGUGCAGUGUUGACUUUGUUGACAUCAACAUGGGUUGCCCCAUUGAUUUUGUCUACAAAAAGGGAGCCGGAUCGGGGCUCAUGGGCCGUGCCAAGAAGCUUGCCGAGAUUGUUUACGGCAUGGUGGGUGCACUGGACAUUCCCCUGACGGUGAAGAUGCGUGCAGGCAUGCAUGAGGGCCGCGCCAUUGCUCAUCAAGUCAUUGCCCAGCUCGUUGCGGCUCCUCGCAAGCCUGCCCUCAUUACAGUGCACCCACGUUCUCGUGAGCAGCGCUACACCAAGUCAGCUGACUGGACCUACCUCGACCGCUGUGCCCAGGCAGCCACCCCCAUCCCAGUGUUUGGCAGCGGGGACGUCCUGAGCUGGGAGGACGCUGAGAAACGGCUUUCAGAGACAUCUGUCAGUGGUCUGAUGAUUGCGAGGGGAGCUCUUAUCAAGCCAUGGAUUUUCACCGAGAUCAAGGAGCGGCGGCACUGGGACAUCUCUUCCUCGGAGCGCCUCGACAUUCUGCGGAAAUACACUGCCUAUGGCCUCGAUCACUGGGGCUCUGAUACAGAGCUUUGCAGCGACGACGGCAUCCUCAAACUCAGCAAGGCUGUGAGCCAGUUUCUCCAUCAGGCCCCUCUUCUCUUUGAAUGCCCUCAUGGUGGUAAACGCAUGUGCCGUGUCAGAGACGAAAGGACCAUCACCUUCUUCCACAUCGUUCACGACGACGCGGCAGCACCAGAAGCUAUUGGGAGCAGUAAACGUGUCAUGACCACCACAUUUAGACGUCACAGUCGGUGCGGACUGCUGUCUGUGAAAAAUAUGGCGUCGAACGGACGCGGCGCUUCCUCCUGGAGUGGCUGUCCUUCCUUCACAGGUACAUCCCCGUGGGCCUUCUAGAGGUUCUUCCGCAAAAGAUCAACGAGAGGCCACCGCCAUAUCGUGGCCGUGAUGAUCUGGAGACCCUUUUUGCCAGUCCAUCUUGUGCUGAUUGGCUAAAGAUCAGUGAAAUGCUCUUGGGACCCCUUCCUGAAGGAUUCAACUUCCUGCCAAAGCAUAAAGCCAACGCCUACUCGGUCUAGCAGAUUGAGCAUGGUUGGCACAUCACCAGUAGUCUGUAGGUCAGAAGCUGACUGCUUGGUGUGACCAAUGGCUGCCUUUUGGUUUUGAAGCUAUGUGUACAGCGAGAGUUGAAGAACUGAUGCAAGAAUCGUCCACACUUCUGUGAUUUUAGGUGCUUUUGUUAUAGAUACAACCAUUGAACACGGACACGGCUGAUUUCUUGCUUGAAUUUUGAACUCAUCAUCAAUUUAUGCAUAAUAUUAAAAUAAUAAAAAAUGUGAUCAUAGUAUGCAAAAGCCUGGAAGUGUGUGUUUAUUUAAGAGAUGAACUCAGAAUUUUUAUUUUGCAUUUGGACAAUGCCUCUAUAACUGUGAUGGCAACCAUGUGACAAAGUGCGGCCUAGGCACAAGCAUGAACUCUCAGAAUGACAGUCUGUAGUCUGAGUUGGUACACAACUUUCACCUUGGAGGUUUAACCAUAUGUGUGGCAUGAUGAGAAAUGAAGAUUGUUGUGCAAUUGUGUGCUUCUCAAGACAUGUUAUUCUUCUUUUAGGUUGCCACUUUGUCUAUUUCUCAUAAGCCCAGUAUUGCUCUGGUUUGUUAUACCUUGUGCAUAAUCGCUUCUUAGCAGUGCAUAUCGUGGGCCAGCUGUGCAACACUAUGCCAUUGAGGAACAGUGUGCCAUUUACGGUCUUUGUCAGAAGUUUCUGGGCCAUUGCAUGUGUGAACACAAUGGCAAUGAACACAAAGGCAUAGCAAUACUACUUGUCCGGCUGUGACCUUUUUUGUGACUUACAGGCAAGACGAUGGAAGCUAAGCAUGUUCUGUAGUCCCGAAAAGGU